CACGGGUGAGUAACGCGUGGAUAAUCUGCCCUGUGAUCUGGGAUAACACUUCGAAAGGGGUGCUAAUACCGGAUAAGACCACGGAGUCUUAGGACUCUGCGGUAAAAGGUGGGGACCUUCGGGCCUACCGUCAUCGGAUGAGUCCGCGUACCAUUAGCUAGUUGGUAGGGUAAGAGCCUACCAAGGCGACGAUGGUUAGCUGGUCUGAGAGGAUGAUCAGCCACACUGGAACUGAGACACGGUCCAGACUCCUACGGGAGGCAGCAGUGGGGAAUUUUGCGCAAUGGGGGAAACCCUGACGCAGCAACGCCGCGUGAGUGAUGAAGGCCUUCGGGUCGUAAAGCUCUGUCAGAGGGGAAGAAGUGUGCGGGUGCUAAUAUCAUCUGCGCUUGACGGUACCCUCAAAGGAAGCACCGGCUAACUCCGUGCCAGCAGCCGCGGUAAUACGGAGGGUGCGAGCG
rnacentral:rRNA from 1 species